GACGAACGCUGGCGGCGUGCCUAAUACAUGCAAGUAGAACGCUGAAGGAGGAGCUUGCUCUUCUGGAUGAGUUGCGAACGGGUGAGUAACGCGUAGGUAACCUGCCUGGUAGCGGGGGAUAACUAUUGGAAACGAUAGCUAAUACCGCAUAACAGUAGAUGUUGCAUGACAUUUACUUAAAAGGUGCAAUUGCAUCACUACCAGAUGGAACUGCGUUGUAUUAGCUAGUUGGUGGGGUAACGGCUCACCAAGGCGACGAUACAUAGCCGACCUGAGAGGGUGAUCGGCCACACUGGGACUGAGACACGGCCCAGACUCCUACGGGAGGCAGCAGUAGGGAAUCUUCGGCAAUGGAAGGAAGUCUGACCGAGCAACGCCGCGUGAGUGAAGAAGGUUUUCGGAUCGUAAAGCUCUGUUGUAAGAGAAGAACGAGUGUGAGAGUGGAAAGUUCACACUGUGACGGUAGCUUACCAGAAAGGGACGGCUAACUACGUG
rnacentral:rRNA from 1 species